rnacentral:misc_RNA from 1 species
UCCAGAAUACAGUCCUCGAAUGCCACGAGUUCUGAAUAUAUCAACAGAUGCAGCCCUCAUGUUUGGAUAAACCUUUGGCUCUCCUUGAGAAGCUAAAAUGGUUCUCAAUAGAUCAAAUGGAUAAGAACCAACAGUAGCUGCACAGCCUGCUAAUGCUCCACUGAUGUAAGAAAGAUAAGGGCUCAAGUUAACGUGAUCCUCUGACUUUGAAGAACCACUAGCAAAACUUUUCAAUUUGUGCAACACCGCAAAUUGUAUUGCAGUGUAUGGCAUAACCAUCAGUAAAGCAGGAACAUUACCCCGCCAAAAUCCCGGUAAACCUUCUUCUCUGAGUAUGUCUUUACUGGCUUGCAACAUCCCCGUGUAUUUUGAAUUGGAAUUGCCACAUACAGUUCUUGUAAGUAAGGCCCACUGAGUAGUGGGUUCCAGUUGAACCUGGAAUCUGAUUUUAAUAACAUCAAGAGGUGAUGUUACAGUUCUGGAUAUACCACCAGAAAUUGCACCAGCCGAAGCAUCUAUAAAAGCUCGUUUAAGCUGCCCCGUCUCUUCCAUCCCUCCUAACAGCCACCACAAAAAACUAUCUAAGAGAAGUCAUUGAAGAUUUCAGAUUUGAGAGCUCAAAUCAUAUCCACCAAAACUGAAAGAGGGAUUUUGGCGUAAUACGGGUCGGGGCAGCAGCAGCAGCAGCAGCGACCCGGGAAACUUCUCAGA